GUGCUCGCUUCGGCAGCACAUAUACUAAAAUUGGAACGAUACAGAGAAGAUUAGCAUGGCCCCUUGCGCAAGGAUGACACGAAAACCUUUUGCUAAGUGAAAUAGGUCA
rnacentral:snRNA from 1 species